rnacentral:rRNA from 1 species
ACCCGCUGAACUUAAGCAUAUCAAUAAGCGGAGGAAAAGAAACCAACAGGGAUUGCCCUAGUAACGGCGAGUGAAGCGGCAACAGCUCAAAUUUGAAAUCUGGCGUCUUUGGCGUCCGAGUUGUAAUUUGCAGAGGGCGCUUUGGCAUUGGCAGCGGUCCAAGUUCCUUGGAACAGGACGUCACAGAGGGUGAGAAUCCCGUACGUGGUCGCUAGCCUUUACCGUGUAAAGCCCCUUCGACGAGUCGAGUUGUUUGGGAAUGCAGCUCUAAAUGGGAGGUAAAUUUCUUCUAAAGCUAAAUACCGGCCAGAGACCGAUAGCGCACAAGUAGAGUGAUCGAAAGAUGAAAAGCACUUUGGAAAGAGAGUCAAACAGCACGUGAAAUUGUUAAAAGGGAAGCGCUUGCAGCCAGACGUGCCCGCAGUUGCUCACCCGGGCUCCUUUGCCCGGGGCAUUCUUCUGCGGGCAGGCCAGCAUCAGUUUGGGCGACCGGAUAAUGGCCUCUGUCACGUAUCUUCCUUCGGGAUGACCUUAUAGGGGAGGCGUAGUGCGGUCAGCCCGGACUGAGGUCCGCGCAUCUGCUAGGAUGCUGGCGUAAUGGCUGU